UGACUUGUUAGUUUUGUUUAUUAUAGAUCUUUGCUUCUCUACAUUAAUUAUAGCAACUUCUUAAGUGGUGAUGCUGAUGUCGGUAGUUAGUUGGGAGUAACUAGCAAAGAAAUUUGCAAUACAAUACAGUAAUAUCAAUGUUGAACUUAUUGAAUCUAUCGUUUGGGCUCAUUAAGAAACACUAAAAUUUACCUAGCUAGCACCCUUCAUGUUGAUUUGUCGUCCGCAGCCAUCCGAUCGUAUUUGUGAGCAUCCUAGAUCAUCUAGUCACAUCAGACUGGACUAUUAUGGCGCAACCCAUCUACCUCAGCCAGACCACCCAUCAGUGGGCUGCUUCUCUGAAGAUUGACCUGAGAGUUUUCUUAUGAGCCGGGCCGAUUGCCGAUGGGUUGUUGGUCAGCCAGCAGGUUUUCCUGCCAAUCAGCCCUCUUGGAUGACUGAAUGGCGCAGGCCCAGCUUAAUUCUGUUCGCCCCCUUCUCUGCCCUUCACUGCGAAGUAACCAGGAGUAAUUAGGCGGAAGCCAGGCCGCCUUCCUUCCAUUAUUGUUGCUCGAACAUAGGCACGUUACUCUGCAUGUAGCCGCCUUAUUUGCUACUCCUCAAUAUUUUUUUUGCUAUAUUCCUCUUUAUAUGGUGUGUGCUCCAUCCCUCCCGGUUGCCCAUAUGUGAUCUCGCCUCAAUAUGUCUUCCAGUCUUAUCAAUUGCUAUCCUUCCUGAUUUCUUUUUUGUUUGCUAUGGCGGGCGCGGACACCUCACACCUGCGCAUUCGUGGCGCUCCAUAUAUGCCUUCGUGGAAAUCGAAACCGCCCAUCCGGCCAUGAUGAGAGGUAAAAAACCGAUCACAACUGAUAUAUUUCAGGUGUUGUAGAGGCGCACAUGGGAGAUGUUCGAGUCGCUCGGAGGGGAAGUCUACGAUUGCAGGGUUGGGUGAGACUUUGAGAGAGAUGCUGUGCAUGUGCAAGAGGAAAACCUGCCGGCCGCGAUGAUGCUUGUGCUCUCAAGCUCAACGCAAUAGCGCAGAGAGAGGAUCAUUUUGUAGCAUAUGGAAUUGCCGUUAGAGUUUCCUGGACAAGUAUCACUGCUACUCUCUCUCUGUACCAGUUCAAUGAAUUGCUAUUUAUUACUACUGGGUUGAUCUUCUAUCUCCAUUUCUACACGAGUUCAUAUACAUAGUUAAGCUUUGAAAUUUGGGGAAAAUACUUCAUAUGUAAGAGAUUAAUAGUCAUACACGCAAAUUAGCAAGAUAGGUUAUUUUCUUUGUCGGGCAUACCAAACUCUCAGGGCCCGUUUAUCUUGGGGAUCUGGUUAUGCAUUUGGAGUAUGAUAUAAUUCCUUGCUCCAAGCCUCCAACAUGGCACUAAAAUAGUCUCACACGUGUUUUUAAAUAUUGCUUUCGGAUGUACUGCCAAAUUUUGAGCUGCAUAAUUUGAUGAUAUUUGCAAUAUUCAUGGUCACUCUGAGAUGAUACUCACUUCAUCUGUAUGAUUGAUCGGUGGUGCUACUUUUCUAUUUGCUGGGAGAUGUUUGGUGCUUCUUUUUUAUUUGUAGGUGUUACAUAAGCCACAAGUUUCUUUGAUGGAAACUGAUUAUUUGAAUCAUCCCAGAAAUCAAAAGAUGGUUGACAAUCGAUCAAUUGAUGGUCCGAGGAGAAUUUACUACGAUUCAGUUGGCAAUGAGUGAUCUGUAGUGAAACUUCUGAAAAGUUCCAUAACUUGGGAAAGAGAAAUAUAUUUUCAAAGAAUGAGACUAUCAACU